rnacentral:rRNA from 1 species
AGCGGAGGAAAAGAAACCAACAGGGAUUGCCUUAGUAGCGGCGAGUGAAGCGGCAAAAGCUCAAAUUUGAAAUCUGGCACCUUCGGUGUCCGAGUUGUAAUUUGAAGAUUGUAACCUUGGGGUUGGCUCUUGUCUAUGUUUCUUGGAACAGGACGUCACAGAGGGUGAGAAUCCCGUGCGAUGAGAUGCCCAAUCCUAUGUAAGGUGCUUUCGAAGAGUCGAGUUGUUUGGGAAUGCAGCUCUAAGUGGGUGGUAAAUUCCAUCUAAAGCUAAAUAUUGGCGAGAGACCGAUAGCGAACAAGUACAGUGAUGGAAAGAUGAAAAGAACUUUGAAAAGAGAGUGAAAAAGUACGUGAAAUUGUUGAAAGGGAAGGGUUUGAGAUCAGACUCGAUAUUUUGUGAGCCUUGCCUUCGUGGCGGGGUGACCCGCAGCUUAUCGGGCCAGCAUCGGUUUGGGCGGUAGGAUAAUGGCGUAGGAAUGUGACUUUGCUUCGGUGAAGUGUUAU